rnacentral:rRNA from 1 species
CGGCGGACGGGUGAGUAACGCGUGGGUGACCUGCCCCAUACCGGGGGAUAACAGCUGGAAACGGCUGCUAAUACCGCAUAAGCGCACAGAGCUGCAUGGCUCGGUGUGAAAAACUCCGGUGGUAUGGGAUGGGCCCGCGUCUGAUUAGCUGGUUGGUAAGGUAACGGCUUACCAAGGCGACGAUCAGUAGCCGACCUGAGAGGGUGAACGGCCACAUUGGGACUGAGACACGGCCCAA